UUUAUAUCUGACGGCUCUCUACUUUGUAGCGAGGCAUUCUUGCUCGUUCACCGUUUCUUUGAAACAGUGAGUGGAUUCCGUUAUAAACAGGAAGUCCUUCACGAGGGGCGUGAAACUCGCGGCGGGGCUGGACUGCCCGUUCCAGGAACACCUUCGAUCCGACCGAUGAAUUGUUUAUCAAGAUCGAAGCGACGCAUGCGCGCAGGUAUUUUUAAUGAUCGUAUGACGUGGUCCAUAGAAUUCUAGAAUACAAUAGCCAUCCCGUAGAAAACACCAUUGUGGGGAAUGGACACUCAGGUAGAGCUGGGAUAGAAGUUUGAGUUAUCCCCUUAGAAUUAUCCACACAAACGUGUGUUUGUUUCCAUAUCCCUGGUCUCGUGUAGCUUCAGUUGAAGAUGGAAUGUUAUUCAUCUUUAUUUAUUUUAAUCCUAUAGAACAGAUUUCUAUAAUUCGUGAAAUAGAAUUGGGAAGGCUUGGCUCAUCAGUGGUUAAAAACCUUUCCACCGAUUUCUCUCAUUUACUCCACCAGAUCUAAGCUACAUUGUAUUGUUUAUUCUGCUUAUAUUGUCUGUAUUGGAAGGAUUCUUCUUAGUAAGGGCGCUUAAAAAACGAAACUAUAAACUAAUGCAUCUGUAAUAUUGUAGAAAAUUUACAAAUAUUACUACUUCGAUCAUAGCACUUAAAGACAAGCCAACACGGCUACCUGUUUUGCCAGCAUCAGUAAACAUUGAUGAGGAUGGCAUUAUAAAGUAAAUGAAUGAAGACAUCUCGAGCGGCACUGUUUAUUUCCAAGAAACUAUCGAAGACUUUGAUUAGAUUUUUCAUGGCGAGAGGGGGAAUCAUUCAUCAUCAUUAUUGUCAUUUCCUUUUCAGAGGGAUGACUUUAGAAACAAAUGGAAGUUCCUCAACUAAGAAACCCGACUUUACACAUCCCUAAACUACCUGUCUUGGGUUUGUUGCUGAAUUAUCGUAUCCCUUGAACAGAGGUAGCUCUAAACUUACCUCCCAUCGCACACAUUUUGUGCCUUUUACAAAACAUUUUUUUAUUAUCCUCUUAUAUAGAUCCGUCCCAGAGUUCAAAGAGGAAAAAACAAUAAUAAUAAAAAAAUAAGAGCAUGAAAUCAAUAUGUAAAUAGGUCAGCUAUAUACAGUCUUGGUGGAGAUACAUAACCACUUCGUCAUGUCUUUUAGGGCAUCUUCAUUUUCCUUUUUAAACAAUAUCAGUUUUUCUGUUGAACUCUAGUAUAGUCUAGUAUAACUUUGACUUGUCGCCUUGGUAAGAAUGUAAAUUUCCUCCCCAUUUAGGUGUUUCUAAAUGACAAGUUUGCGCGCCGCGCCAGUUAAUAACUUCAUAUAAAUUCCGCGGUUAAUUUUUUUUCUUCUUUAAAAAGAGAAUCAGUUCAAUUAUGAAGAGAAAAAAAUGCUCAGAAUGUCUUUUUGUUCCUCUAUCUACGGCUCGACAUAUAACCGAGUGCUAGGUUACGUGGGGAUUGUUCUACCAGAGGUGUUGGCCACUCGGAGAAAACAGAUGUUGAUUCCCACAUGCAUCUAUUCUACUUUUGUGUUUUUAUUCCCACCGUUUCAACCACUCCAUACAGCUCGCCACUCACAUACAAGAAAUAGAAGAUAGGUCCUAAGAAAAUUCACCACUGAUGAAUCAAGCUCUCUCAUCGAAUUUUUCUACCAUCACAGCAAGCCAGUCCCGCACGUUUUGACGACUUAAAUGAAAAUAUUCUUCAUAAAUGUAAUUAAAAAAUGUAUUAUCCGAAUGGAAGAAUGUGAAUUACAGUUAUUUUUUUUUAAAUGUUGAUUUAUGGUAUUCAAAAAUAACUUCUUUAGAGAGUAUUUUAUGGUUAGCUUCUACGGGAGGGACCAACCACAGGAGGACCUGUUGUGUCAGACAAUGGCCGUCCAUGCGGAACAUCCUGCACUCUGUCUUCCGCCCCAACAGGAACGAUUAAGGCGGGCCCAAGGAAAGAAAAUAUUGACUGAGGAAGAUAAUAAUUAAUACCAUAAUUUCCAUCCUGGAUUAAGAGCGGCUAUCUAAGCGGGGCCAAUUAGAGCCCUAAUCCCGGAGUCCUCAUUAGCUUUUGUUUAAAUCCCUCCGGGAAUUUGCAAUCCUCCAGCUUGUUCGCAGGUCCUGGUUCUACAUUCUACAGAGUGUCUACAAGGAAUAGAUGAGUCAGGUGAUAAAUGACAUUCGUUUAAAAAGGAAAGAUGCCUAAAAGACAUGACGCAGUGGUUAUGUAUCUCCACACACACACUAAGACUCUAUAUAGCUGACGUAUUUACAUAUUGAUGUUCCUGCUCCUAUUUGUUGCUUGUUUUUUCCUCUUUGAACUCUGGGACGGGUCAAUAUAAGGCGAUUAUAAAAAAAAUGUUUUGUAAAAGGCCCAAAAUGUGUGCGAUGGAAGGUAAGUUUACAUCAGUUCAAGGGAAGCGACAAUUCAGCAACAAACCCAAGACAGGUAGUUUAGGGAUAUGUAAAUUCGGGUUUCUUAGUUGUGGAACUUCCAUUUGUUUCUAAAGCCAUCCCUCUGAAAAGGAAAUGACAAUAAUGAUGAUGAAAAAGGAUUUUGUCUGGUUUUUAGUUAGAAGUCGAUAUCGCGCACUACCAACCCCCGCCUUUUGAACAAUGUAGACAAAGUACGAUUGACUCUUCGCCAUCUUAUACAUAACCCUGAACUGAUGAGGGAUAUAACCCGACACCAUGUUGUUAUAGCAAUUCUUCAUUCUACACAGGAACAAUAGACAAAGUGUAUUGUUUUGUUAUAUUUUUGAUCGGGAGAAGCAUCCUCUUUGCAAUAUCAAUAUCUUACUCCCGAAAAAUUAUAAUAUACACUCUGUAUAUCUUUUGAGGAUAUUAAAAUCGACAAAAACAUAUAUUUUUUUUUUUUAUUCCAUUGAGGUGCACUUUAGAUGUAUCGCUCUAUAAUAAGUAUAUAUUGAAUAUUUAUUUAGCGCUAAAUGUUUGUGUCUAAAUCUCCAAAAGCGUCCCAUAAAAAAAAGGCAACACGCGCUAUAGGUACGACAUCUAUCAAAAUCCUACCAAUGGGUAUAAUGCUGCAUACCUGCUCGGUUUAUCUUAGAUAGUGGGCCACUCGGUGCCUUGUGAGUUGGUCGUCUUCAUGGCCACGAGUCUCGCUAAUCUAACAAAUAUACACCGACUUGGUCCAAAAUGAUCUCCAACGACCUUGUUUCUUCUAGCACCGUCGCCUCACUGAACUCUCAACUUUAAUGCUUAAUACGAACUCCGCCUUUGCCGGUCCCAAACCCGGAUGAAAAAGGAGCAGGGGGAGCCGUAACAAGCUCGCUAAAAAACCUGGGCUCAGCUGGCCCGGCUGAUAGUACCCUGUAAGGGCUCCUAAUCCAGGGAUACAGGAUGAGCAGCGUUUGUACUCCAUGUUAGGAGAGGCUGCACAUGGCGUCUGUUCCUCAUGUCAGAGGCGGCCAUUUCGUUCGGAGCUAAGUCGGCCUGCCACUGAAUAGUGCUCCCAGUCUUAAUGACAAAGGCAGACGCAUUCUACUUCACCCAGUGUGGAGAUAAGAAAGAAAAAGAAGAUGCUUAAUACGGUUAUUAUCAGAACAUAGCUGGUAUAUCGAGGGUUCCCUGUGUUGUGGUUUCUAAACCAACCUCGAGUCUUCAACCUGGACGACUCCAUUGUUAGCGACCGCGCCUCCCUGACAAAUUUAUGGAAGCGCGCGAUAAAGGUUUGCAACUUCACGAAAAAGGUCACGUGGUGGUAUCUUCAGUUUCAUCGCCGGAACGCCCAUCUCGUUGUUUGCGCGCUGUAACAACCUACUCAAGUGUUAUCUUUUAAACUGUUUUACAACAAAUCCCCUCUUGUUUUAAACAAUUUUUUUUAAUCAACUUGGGAUGGUCAACCAGAAAACUGCCCAUUUCAAUGUUUCGGGCCAUUAACCCCGUGGGGAAGGAACUCUUGUCUAAUCCCUCUUUAAUUGAGCUAUAAACACUCAUCAUUCUGGUAAUUUCGAAACCUAUUUAUUCUCUUAUAAACCUUCUAAUUAACCUUCAGACCGAUCUUACUUCUAACAACCUGUAUCUUCUCCAAGUGUUGAGCCGUGGACGACCUCCCUACCAUAUCCGGCCUAUGGCACUGGAAGAAUUCACGGCUGGAAGUCAACCCGUGGUUUCUCCGGUGCUAUUGACCGUGUGUGGCGCCCCGUGGUCGGCCACUCUCUCUCUAUACUGACUUUCUUUCCACUAACUCAAGAACUUUCCACUCUGACACCUCCUACUAACUCAAGAACUUCUCACUGUGAUACCUCCUAAUAACUCAAAAACUUUCCACUGACACCUCUUACUGGCUCAAGAACUUUCCACUGCCACCUCUUACUGGCUCAAGAACUUUCCACUGACACCUCUUACUGGCUCAAGAACUUUCCACUGACACCUCUUACUAACUCAAGAACUUUCCACUGACACCUCUUACUGGCUCAAGAACUUUCCACUGACACCUCUUACUAACUCAAGAACUUUCCACUGACACCUCUUACUGGCUCAAGAACUUUCCACUGAUACCUCUUACUGGCUCAAGAACUUUUCACUGACACCUCUUACUGGCUCAAGAACUUUCCACUGACACCUCUUACUGGCUCAAGAACUUUCCACUGAUACCUCUUAAUGGCUCAAGAACUUUCCGCUGACACCUCUUACUGGCUCAAGAACUUUCCACUGACACCUCUUAAUGGCUCAAGAACUUUCCACUGACACCUCUUACUGGCUCAAGAACUUUCCACUGACACCUCUUACUGGCUCAAGAACUUUCCACUGACACCUCUUACUGGCUCAAGAACUUUCCGCUGGUACCAUAAACAAACCUUCCACUGAUGCCACUCCCUACCAACUUAGAGGCACUUUCACACAUUUGAACUUCUACCCAGCCCUCCUCCUGGUAUCGAGUCCCACUUUAUAGCCACCAACAUACUGACCAAACUUGCUGUGAACGAAUGAAACCAACACUAGAGCUGGGUACGGCCUGUAUGUAAUUCGCGCCGAUCCAAUUGUAGAUCUGGCCGCCGCGCCGGGUUAUUAAAGUGCUGAUAACCCGUUUUUUUCUUUACCCUUUAAUCGGCGGGGAUUGAAUCGCCGGCCAUCUGUCAGGUGAUGUCAUUCACGAGCCGUACACCUGAAUACCGUACUCACACACCCACUUCUGGAUAUCAUUUGGUAGACUCAUUCGUGGAAUGUCGCACUUUGACUUUUAGACCGUUUCAAUUAUACCAAUGUAUUCGGAACAAGGAUUUUGUCUUUCACUCCGCGGGAUCCAGUUCGUAUAAAACAAGAGGUAGGUGUCAGUUCUAUAUGCAAGUUAUUCUAACAUUCAAGAAGGUUAACCAUUGCUUUUCAACCAUCCAUCGGAUUAUUGGAUGAAGAUAUUCCUGUUCUAUUAGAGCUUCCUUUUUAUGGAUAGUCUUUUGAUAUAAUAUUAUAGAGUCUUCUCCCGAAAUUGUCCACGAAUUCCAUUCUCUGGACCUUCCCGGUCUUCCUUUCUUCCAUACCUUCUCCCUCCAGUAAGACUACAGUUAACCACUCCGAAUGUCUGACAAGAUGUCCCAACAUGCUCCAUCUCUCAAUCUAGAAUGUCCUCUCCGAAUAUUUCUGGAACAUCUUGGUUAUUCAGUCCUUGAGAUUCUUACCAUUCGGUGCCACAUCUCUUGUAGCUUUAAGAAAAUAGGCGUAGAUAUUGAAGGCUCUCCUAGUAUGAAUAGGCAUUGACCCCAAGUAAGAUACCGACGUUACAACAGUAAAACUAGGACUCGACUCACCGAUAGAUGUAGUUGUUGUUCUUCUAACUGAUGGCACGGUGCCAACCUUAAGUUGUGGGGCAAUCCUUGCUUAGCCACAGCUCUAUCGAAUCCUGAUGUAAGUUCAUAUUGAUCAGUAGGUCGGGAAGAAACUAUUUGAAUCUUAUGUUUCAGGUCUUGUGUCGUCUACUUGGUAAUUUUCAUAUACGAUCGAAAAUGUUUUUUUUUUUUAAUUAGAACCUGAUAGAAACGCUUCAUCCAAAAACAGUAAAUCUAUUGUAUUUACUGUUACUUUGUAAGUAUGAGAAAAUAUCUGGGUAAAUUAUCUUUCAUUAUCGAACAAAAUAGGAGAAUAUAGCCUUCAAUUUCUCUCAUAGCUUUGUUGUAAGUAAUUUAAAUAUGUUUCCUCUAAAUUCUUUUCGACAUAGCGCUCUUGGAAAUAAUUUAAAGAUAAAAAUAUCGCUAAAAUAAUUUUUAGUUUUUCGAAUAAGACAUGGUGUCGGAGUUCAUCCUACCUAAAGAAGAAAAAAAAAAUCUUAACACUUUGAUUAACGUUUCUAUUUGAGUCUUUCUUAUUUCUAAAAUGUUUUCUAAGGGAAGUAAACCACACAAUUUCAAGUUUGUACCGAGUCCUUCAGUUAUUGGAUUCUAGGCAGGAUUAAGCAGAAGACAAUCCCCACGCGUCGUCUGUAGCCUCUUCCUUCAUUACAACAUUUAAAUAUUUACUUGAAUAUUCGCGCUUACGUCACAGGACAGUAGGCCUGUAUUUUUUAUUUGAGGCAAUUGGUUCUUCCUCUAUUGGCGAAUCACGAUUGUAAGGAAUUUAUUUAUUUUAUUUAAAGUCAAUUAGAAGAUUUAAGAGAUUUGUGUUUCACCGAAGUAACUACACAAAUCUCAUCUAGAUGUACAUGGUAUAUACAAUUUGAAGUCAAAGUUAACAUUAAGUAAUAAUAUAUAUUAAGUAUAUAUAUAGUAAAAAGUAAUAUAACUUUUAAAAACACAAUUUUAUAUUUAAAAAAAAGUUUAUUUUCCUUCUUUAAAAAUAUUUACAUAAAAGCAAUUUACCAAAAGAAAUUUAAUCCAAAAUUUAAACAAUCAAAAUUUACAUAUCUCUCGACAGAAUGUGUUUACUCUAGUCUCUAGUCAAAACCCAAUAAAUAAAUAUAUACACAAUUUAAUUAUUUUUAUUCGUCUGCGUAACUCUAAGUCCAUUUACAUCACACAAUAAUUUUGCCAUUUACAUUAAAGAUAUAUACAAUUAAUAUAACAAUUAUAUCAUUUUUAUAAGUUUUAUAUUUAUAAUACAUCUCUGUAGUAGUAGGUCAUUUAAAGAGAAGUACAAAAAUAGAGAUAGUGUGGCAAUCUUUAGAAAGAUAUUAUUUGAAAACGGAAUGCACAGACAAAAAUCUACUUUCAUGACCAGCUCGGAAUCUCACCUCAAUUCACUCGAAGUUUUAACGGCGAAAGAAAAAAGUAUAACCAUAUAUGCACCACAUAUGUACUAUUGUAUAUAAUAAGUACAUAGGUAUAAAUGACCUAAGUGUGCCUAGAAGUGUUGGCAGUAUGUGCCAUAGGAUUGUUGAUAGCUGCCACCACACAAGACCAUAACACACGCCGACCGGCCGACCUAACCCGUUGGUGACCUUUGGGAAUCUCCCUCCCUCCCUCCGCUCUUCCUCCUUCCUUCUUCCUCUUUGCCGGCUUCCUGUUUCCACUGCCUCGUCUCCAAACACCCGUUGCCACUUCUCUCAACACCCGCUGCAUCGUCUUCCAACACCCGCUGCAUCCACUCCCAACACUCGUUACCAACGCUCCCAACUCCCGCUGUCUCGUCUCCCAACUCCCGCUGUCUCGACUCCCAACUCCCGCUACCAACGCUCCCAACUCCCGCUGGCUGCAUCGUCUCCCAAAACCCGCUACCUCGUCUCCCAACACUCGUUACCAACGCUCCCAACUCCCGCUACCAACGUUCCCAACUCCCGCUGCAUCCUCUCCCAACUCCCGCUACCAACGUUCCCAACUCCCGCUGCAUCCUCUCCCAACUCCCGCUACCAACGUUCCCAACUCCCGCUGCAUCCUCUCCCAACUCCCGCUACCAACGCUCCCAACUCCCGCUGAAUCGUCUCCCAACUCCCGCUGUCUCGACUCCCAACUCCCGCUACCAACGCUCCCAACUCCUGCUACCUAUUACUCCUCUUACGUUUCCCUUUUAUUUCCACAUGAUUUAGGAUAUACAAGUAUACUUGUAUAGCACAGCGAGGAAUGCCGGUCAUCGUCUAGCCUGGCUGUAUACACUGAGGAAAUAUUAGACGGAGGAGGAAGACUCGGACGUGACGAAAUAUAUCAUUCUUCAAUGAGCAUCACAUCCAAGGGCUUCAAAGUUUGAAGUCUCUAGCGCACUUAUGUAAAGGGGCACUAGUGGGCUGGAACUUGUCCUGGUUAGCAGUGGUUCAACAGAGAAUAUUGUAAUAUGAGGGAGUUGGGAGGGAGACGACAUCUCAAGGACCUUUCUAUUCACUGUUUUGUGUGUAUUAGUAAUUUUAAAACAAAAGGCGCCUUAAACAUGGAAUAAUUAGAAAAAACGAUAUUUCUUGUGGCCAGAUUCUGUGACACCCCGGGGGAUAGAGAAGUGGUCCUAUCAGCCAUGACCACAUAGAGACCUCAGGAUAAUCCAUAAAAAUAAUUGAAAAUCUUGUAUUCAAUGAUUAUUUUCAUAUAUGGGCUGCUCUGUAUAUCUCACAUUAUAUUUGUUUGUCUCGCGUGUUUAGAAUCCAUUUAUGUAGUUGACCAGCAGAAACGAGAAUCAAGGAACAUAUAUUCAAUAUCAAAAAUCAGAGAUUCCUCAUUUAUCACCACGUAUCAAUUAUUAGCCAUAAUCUCUCUCAAUAUGCCAUUCUAAGUCAAUGUCUAUCAAAUCAGUAAGAUUGACUCCUUAAUACAAAAAGACAAGAACAGUAGGAAGGGAAAUUCCAGAAAC
rnacentral:piRNA from 1 species